GUUCAGGAGAGUUUGGAGAGGAAGUUUGGAAAGCAGGGAGGACCGAUCCCUGUUGUUCCCACCGCUGACUUCCAGCCCAGAGUUGCUGAGCUUCUGAGAAGGACAUUGUUCGCUCUGGCCUGGCCUACACCAUGGAGAGAUCUGCCAGGGUUAUGUUUAUAGAGGAAGAUGUCAAACUCUACCUAGCAGAGCUGCCUCUGACCCUCGACCACCUGCACCAUCUUGGCAUAGUUUACAGAAACCUCAAACCAGAGAUGUAUUUUGUGGGACGAAGCAAGGGGACAAGAUGAGGGAAAGUUCUGCUAACAAGGGCAACUACUAGGAGCUUGCAGAGGCACUGUGUCACUGCCGUCGUUCAAAGAAGACCAAGGUGCAGCAUGUCAAAUCCUGUCCUCAUUGGAAGAGUUGAGUUCUUCUCCAACACCAUCCAUCCAUGAUGAGCUUGUCCUGCACUGAAUCCUCUGAACAUCUCAACCCAGGUCCUGCACUGAAGUCAAGCCUCUGAACACCUUAACUCAUGCUUCAUACCCUCAUUCAAAUCACUGCUGUGAUCCCUUCCCAACAUGGCAGACAACAAUAUCAAGCCUGUCUGUCAGUCUGGACUCCAUCUUGCAAGUCUCCAAGUGCUGGCUCCGGAGAUGCAUUUGUGAACACAAACAGUACACAGUCACUGUUCUAUUACCAAUGGCAGUUAGGAUAGGUGAUAUCUGACAAACAAACAUAUACAAUGUUGAAGUUUGAACAGGUCAGACUAAACCUACCUAAUUCUGGUCUCCCCAUCGACGACCAUUGUGAGUAGGCCAGAGGUGAGACUGGAGGUAAGGUCUUUGCCAGCGCCCUAUUGAUGGGCAUGGCAGUGUAGAUAAGCUUCUGGCCCCUGAUCAAAGAUACUGGUCGUUCACGCACAAACAAACACACACACAGAACACUGAUUACAUUAUCAAUGGUGUUUAUGAUUAGCCUGGUGGAACUAAUCUGAUCUAUGCGUUCACCUUUUGAUUUCACUUCAGAUAUCAUGAUAUCUGAAGUGAAGUGAAAUGGGAAACGUAACAAUCAGGCUGGUUAGACCAGGCUAGAUUGUUGAUAUAGAAAUGUAUAUGAUUUAUAUGUUUAAGGGGAUGUUAAGAUAAUGACUAAAUGUAUUCCACCCUGUCACUGUAUAGUGGAGGGAAAUGUAUUUGAAUCAUAAGACUAGAAUUCUUUAAUGUGUGUGCUUUGGACAAGUUAAGACUUUACUAUUUAGCAAUGUAGGCGAGACAGUGUGCGUGUCACGUUCUGACCUUUAUUUCCUUUGUUUUGUAUUCAUUAUUUAGUAUGGUCAGGGCGUGAGUUGGGGUGGGCAGUCUAUGUUUGAUUUUCUAUGAUUUGGGGAUUUCUAUGUUUCGGCCGAGUAUGGUUCUCAAUCGGAGGCAGGUGUCAUUAGUUGUCUCUGAUUGAGAAUCAUACUUAGGUAGCCUGGGUUGCACUGUUUGUUUGUGGGUGAUUGUCUAUGCUAGUGGCUUGUGUCAGCACAGGUCUCAUUUGUAGCGUCACGGUCGUUAUUGGUUUAUUGUUUAUUGUUUUUGUAUGCAGUGUUCAGUACUUUCUUUAAUUAAAUAUUCACUAUGAACACAUACCAGAUGAAGAGGAGGAAGAUCGUGACAGAGUGUGUGCAUAGGAAAAGAGGAACUGUCAACAGACAACUUGUGACCACUGUGAAACUGGUAACAGGAAAAGAGGCCUCCACACCCAGGGAGGGGAAAACCAUUAGGCUGGCAGUAGAUGAUGUAACAUGUUGCAGGAUAUGAUAAGCAAUGUAUGUGUAGGAGAAGACUGGUCAAUUGUAUUGACAGUGUUAGGAGAAGAGGGGGGGCAGUUAUGACCAAAUAUGAGGUAUAUAACCAUUGUAUGAUGGUAGAGCUCUCGUGUAUAAAAAUGUUGACUAUUGUAA